GAUGAACGCUAGCUACAGGCUUAACACAUGCAAGUCGCGGGGCAGCAUGGGGGUUGCUUGCAAUCCCCGAUGGCGACCGGCGCGCGGGUGAGUAACGCGUAUCCAACCUGCCCUUCACCACGGGAUAACCCGGCGAAAGUCGGACUAAUACCGUAUGUUGUCCAUUGACGGCAUCCGAUUUGGACGAAAGGCUUGGCGGUGAGGGAUGGGGAUGCGUCCGAUUAGCCAGACGGCGGGGUAACGGCCCACCGUGGCUACGAUCGGUAGGGGUUCUGAGAGGGCGCUCCACCACACUGGAACUGCGACACGGUCCAGAAUCCUACGGGAGGCAGCAGUGAAGAAGAUUAGGCAAUGAGCGUAAGCCUGACCCAGCCAAGUAGCGUGCAGGAUGACGGGCGUAUGGGUUGUAAACUGCUUUUAAGGGGGGAUAAAGUGGCAAAAGUGUGGGCUUUUGAAGGUACCGAAUGAAUAAGGACCGGCUAAUUCCGUG
rnacentral:rRNA from 1 species